rnacentral:rRNA from 1 species
CCUACGGGAGGCAGCAGUGGGGAAUAUUGGACAAUGGGGGGAACCCUGAUCCAGCGACGCCGCGUGAGUGAAGAAGUAUCUCGGUAUGUAAAGCCCUAUCAGCAGGGAAGAAAGAAAUGACGGUACCUGAUUACGAAGCCCCGGCUAACUACGUGCCAGCACGCGCGGGAAUACGUAGGGGGCAAGCGUUAUCCGGAUUUACUGGGUGUAAAGGGGGCGUAGACGGCGAUGCAAGGCUGGAGGGAAAGGCGGGGGCCCAACCCCCGGACAGCCUUGGAAACUGUAUGGCUGGAGUGCAGGAGAGGUAAGUGGAAUGCCUAGUGUAGCGGUGAAAUGCGUAGAUAUUAGGAGGAACACCGGUGGCGAAGGCGGCUUACUGGACUGUAACUGACGUUGAGGCUCGAAAGCGUGGGGAGCAAACAGGAUUAGAUACCCUAGUAGUC